AGUUACUCCGGUACUUGUUCUUCCCUAACAACAGAACUUUACGACCCGAAAGCCUUCAUCGUUCACGCGGCGUUGCUCCGUCAGACUUUCGUCCAUUGCGGAAGAUUCCCUACUGCUGCCUCCCGUAGGAGUCUGGGCCGUGUCUCAGUCCCAGUGUGGCCGAUCACCCUCUCAGGUCGGCUACGCAUCGUCGCCUUGGUGAGCCGUUACCUCACCAACUAGCUAAUGCGCGGG
rnacentral:rRNA from 1 species